CCCCUGGUGGACUAGUGACUAGGACUCCUGCUUUUCACCCAGGCCACCCAGGUUCAAUUCCUGGACAGGGAA
rnacentral:tRNA from 1 species